UUCAGGAAUUUGAUUGGAUCCGUAACCAGCGAAGGGCCAACUCCGGGAGCCAGGGUAGCCAAGAAAGAACCUGACGGCACCCAGCCCCCUGUCUCAGGGGAGGGGCCUGGUGGGCACACCUCGAGCAAUCCUCUGGGCCCUCCAGGACGGCAACGGAGCACCGUGUCCGGCACGGGCUCAGUCCAGCCAGGCCUCGCUGGACGGCUCCCCGCAUGGGGGCGAGAGGGGAGAAAAGCGGACGGAGCAACCGCGCCCUCUCUCAUCUGCGCCCACUCAGGGCACGGAGGACAGACGGGCCCGCGUGGCUGGCUCCACACACCAGCCCGGGUCUGGUCUGGGCCACGAGCGCACGACUGGGAACUGGCCCAUCCAGGACACUGGGUCAGAUUCUCCUGGUGGCCCGCCGCACUACAAGGCAGACAACUCCCCAGCUGCCUGGGGGCACGGCACGGGUCCAGAACACGCUCGUGCCAGCGUCAGAGGGCAGGCACAUCGAGGACUUGUCCUCAGGCAGCGGCCACGCCUCCUGGACGCUGUCCCGGGAGCUCGGAGACCAGCCAACGCCAAGAGGAAGGCAAGGACGUCUCAGGAGAGGCAGAGGCACAGAGCACCACCCUCGCGGAGCCCAGCGUGCCCGCGCCUAAGUCCGCUGCGCACACUGGGCCACCAGGGGCAGUGGGGCACUCCACGCCGGGUCCCAUGAGGCUUCUGCACUCGCAGCCUCCGUGGCCACGCCAGGCAUGCGGGCUGGGAGUGCUGCACCAGACCCCCGGGGUGGGUCAUGGCGGGAGCAGACGUGGGGGGCGGGGAAGCCUACGCCCCUCCCGCACGGGUCAGCAGACCACCACGCAGAGAAACGGACAACCUGCGGACAGGCCCAGGCAGCGUGCAGCCAACCAGAGCACCCGGGAGGACACACGGCCCCGUCUCGGAGCGCCUGACUCGCACCGCGGCCCCUCUCUCCCCAGGGAGCACAUCCUUCCCGGGCAGAGCCCCGAGGACGUCCCCGCAGCUCCAGAGCACAGGCCAGCGUUUCGGGACAAGGAAUCGCAUGGCGACACCUUCCCGGUCCCGGAGGCAAUAGGAAAGCCCGUUCUCGCUCAAGGAGCCCCGGCAACCCAGCGGGCUCCCAGGGGCAGAGGACACAAGGCACACGGGCCCCUACCGUGGUCGUGGUCGUGGUCGUGGUCGUGGUCGUGGUCGUGCUCGGGGUCGGGGUCGUGGUCAUGGUCGUGGUCGUGGUCAGCCUCCUCGGUGCUGGGAGUCAUGGUUGGGAGCGGCACGUCCGGAACAGGUUCCCGGGUGCCGGGCUCGGCGUCUGCGGAAGAAGAAGAGACAUCACGCACUUGGCCUGAGUGA
rnacentral:lncRNA from 1 species